CAGAGGUCCCAAGCGUUGUUCGGAUUCACUGGGCGUAAAGGGUGCGCAGGUGGGUUGGCAAGUUCGAUGUGAAAGCCCCGGGCUUAACCCGGGAAUGGCAUUGGAUACUGUUGAUCUGGAGGGUCGGAGGGGGGACUGGAAUUCUUGGUGUAGCAGUGAAAUGCGUAGAUAUCAAGAGGAACACCAGUGGCGAAGGCGAGUCCCUGGACGAUACCUGACACUGAGGCACGAAAGCCAAGGGAGCAAACAGGAUUAGAUACCCUGGUAGUCUUGGCUGUAAACGGUGCGCAUUUGCUGUAAACGGAAUCGACCCCGUUUGUGGCGAAGCUAACGCGAUCAAUGCGCCGCCUGGGAAGUACGGUCGCAAGAUUA
rnacentral:rRNA from 1 species